rnacentral:lncRNA from 1 species
CCGCCGCCCUCCGGGGGCCGCAGCGCGAUCUCCAUGGCCCGGGGGCGGGGGGCAUGCUGGGCCCUGCCGGGCUCGCCGCUCCCGUCCGCUGCUCUCCGCCGGUCUGGUCGGGCGGGCAGGGCUGCUGGCUCCCGGGUCCUGACGUCAGGCUGCCACCGCCUCGCCUCAGACUCUGGGCUCUGGCAGCCGUUACCAAGCAGCCAAAAGCCUCCUUCCCGCAGACGCCACCCGCGGCCUCCGCCCACCGCGCCGUCUCCGCCCCGCGCCCCCUCCGGCCGGGCUGUAGUCCCGCAGGAGGGCAGGAGGGCAGGAGGGAGCCGCGCGCCGAGCCAGGAACAGGUUAAAUAUCAUCGCACAGUCUUCGACUGCACAAUGAUACCAACUUGUGGAGA